AACGAACGCUGGCGGCAUGCCUAACACAUGCAAGUCGAACGAGACCUUCGGGUCUAGUGGCGCACGGGUGCGUAACGCGUGGGAACCUGCCCUUAGGUUCGGAAUAACUCGCCGAAAGGGGUGCUAAUACCGGAUAAUUUCUUCAGGCCAAAGAUUGGUCGCGUUUGGAUGGGCCCGCGUUGGAUGAGCUAGUUGGUAGGGUAAAAGCCUAUCAAGGCGACGAUCCAUAGAUGGUCUGAGAGGAAGAGCCGCCACACUGGCACUGAGACACGGCCGAGACUCCUGCGGGAGGCAGCAGUGGGGAAUAUUGGAAAAUGGGCGAAAGCAUGAUGCAGUUAUGCCGCGUGAGUGAUGAAGGCCUUAGGGUUGUAAAGCACGUUUACCCGGGAUGAUAAUGACAGUACCGGGAGAAUAAGCUCCGGCUAACUCCGUG
rnacentral:rRNA from 1 species